rnacentral:lncRNA from 1 species
GUUGUGCCGUCGUUGCUAGCGUUUUGUGAGGACGAGGCCAUGACGUGUUCGAAAGCCAAAACCUUCCCUUCGCAAUCAAGAAACCGGUGAAAGAAGAGACGGAGGGGGGUGGGGGGUGGGAGGGGAGGGGAGAGAUCAAAGACAAAGAAAAUAUCUGAUAGAAAGAUACUUCCGUACCAAAUGAACCAGCGAUCAAGAAGGAUUGAGGACCGAACCAAAUCGAGGGAGAAGGGAAGGAAGAAGGGGAUGUCGUCUUUGAUACGAGUUUCUAAGAUGUCAGAUAUGCUUCCC